ensembl:lncRNA
CAAGCUCAGAGAAUCCCUCUUCGCCACAGCAGCCGCGCCCUAGCUCCAGUCUGUGUCCUCGCCUCCCCCACGGCCCGCAAAGGCUGGCCUGCAACUAAGGAGCACACAGAAACCACCAAGGAAGAGAAAUGGGAAACGCCGCGGCCCGCCGAAGCCUCGCAAGUCUGCGCGCCCCAAGCCGAAGGCCUGGUCUCGCGGACGCUCAGGCCCCACCGUCUUCGCGCUCCCCGCUGGAGAUAGGGUCUGACGCACGCCGCCCUGCGAAGCAACAGUAACCAAGGAUAUGAGGAGCCGGGGCGAACAGAUGGCAGCUCCCGGCGGCACUGCUCCUCCGGCCAGCUGCGCAACUCCUCCAGGGUGCUCUAGCCUUCCUCGGACAUGCGGCCACCUGAGACGCCAACUUCAAACCACUCUCACCUCAGCCAGGACCGGAAGUCCAGCCAUCCCGGCAAGCCUUGCGAGACCUCAUCUGGACUGAAUCCUAGAGAGGACGCGGCCUAGGCUCCAUGGCGGCCAAGAGGGAAACCGGGCCUAUCUGGUUCCCGGGAGGAAUCCACUCAGUGAUGCGCACUUCCUGAAGCAGAGGACUUCAGAACUCUCCAGACCACUUGCCUCCCAAGCCUGGGUUGCUGCAGACUUUCCAUUAUCUGGCGCUUGGGGAAGGGUCAAAUAAAAGAGAAUCAAAGACCUCUAAAAAAAGUCUUUGGAAACAUCUCUAAGUGUUCAUAGUGGUGUAUAAGCAGCCAAAGAGAAAUUCACCUCAGUGGAACUAAUUGAAUAAUUGAGCAGUGUAUAUGAGUACCAGUUGCUCCAUAUCCUUGCCAGAACUUGAAACGAGGUGUCCUCCUACUGAAAUGGUGUGACAUUUUUUCAUGGAAAAAUAAUCUUCUAUUUAAUGAUGCCAUCAUCACCACCAUCAUCACCAUCACCAUCAUCUCCAUCAUCAUCACCAUCACCAUCAUCACCCACAUCAUCAUCACCAUCAUCUUCAUCAUUACCAUCAUCAUCACCAUCACCAUCAUCAUAUUCAUCAUCAUCGACAUCAUCACCAUCAUCACCAUCACCACCAUCAUCUUCAUCAUCACCAUCAUCAUCACCAUCACCAUCAUCAUCACCAUCACCAUCAUCAUCACCAUCACCAUCAUCUUCAUCAUCAGCAUCAUCAUCAUCAUCACCAUCAUCAUCAUCACCAUCUUCAUCAUCAUCACCAUCACCUUCAUCAUCAUCACCAUCACCAUCAUCAUCUUCAUCAUCACCAUCACCAUCAUCAUCUUCAUCAUCAUCAUCACCAUCAUCAUCUCACCAUCACCAUCAUCACCAUCAUCUUCAUCACCAUCAUCACCAUCAUCACCAUCAUCACCAUCAUCAACAUCAUCAUCAUCACCAUCAUCAUCAUCAUCAUCACUGUUAUAACAACUACUAUACACCAGGCAUUAUUAUGGAUUAUCAUCACCUAUCUUCAUAAUAACAUCAUUACUCCUAUUUUACCAUGAAGGACACCAAGGUGCCUGUCCAAGGGUGGGAGCCCAGGAAUGGCUCACCCCACAAGCCUAACUUGACCUUCUGUCCUGUGCUCUCUCCAGGACCAUCUCAAAGCCAGGCAACAUAUGGCAAGUGUUGUAAGCAUGAUACCCCAAGGUGGUUUAAUGAAUACCCCGGAGAAAGAACUCACAUUUAUUGGUAGGUACUGCACACCAUGAUGCAUGUGCUUUUAAAGUUUAAACUUCACCUUUAGUAAGGUCUAUAUUAUCAUCCCACUCCACCUUCAGUGUCCUCAUGUACCAAGAAGGGAGAGCAAAAUUCCCCAUUUCACAGGGUGAGCAUGAUGGAAUAAAGUAGAAAAUGUAAAGUAACACACAGGGCUUGGCAGUAGUGCUCAUUAAAUGUUAGCUACUAUUAUUUUCUCCAUCAUUUAAAAAAUUUUUGUCAAAAAUUAUACAUUUAUGAUAUAUGCUAUGAUGUUUUGAUAUAUGUGCAGAUUGUGGAAUGGAUAAGUAAGCUAUUUAGCAUAGUUUACUCCCUCUUAUACUUUUUUGUGGUGAGAACUUUUAAAAUGUAUUGUCUUGGCAAAUUUCAUGGGUACAAUGUAUUCUUAUUUAAAGCUGAGAAAUCUGAG